UACGGGGGGGGCAAGCGUUGUUCGGAAUUAUUGGGCGUAAAGGGCUCGUAGGCGGUUUGUCGCGUCGGGAGUGAAAACCAGGUGCUUAACACCUGGCUUGCUUUCGAUACGGGCAGACUAGAGGUAUUCAGGGGAGAACGGAAUUCCUGGUGUAGCGGUGAAAUGCGCAGAUAUCAGGAGGAACACCGGUGGCGAAGGCGGUUCUCUGGGAAUGACCUGACGCUGAGGAGCGAAAGUGUGGGGAGCGAACAGG
rnacentral:rRNA from 1 species